GGCAGAAUGGCCGAGUGGUCUAUGGCGACGGUCUCAAGCACAUGGAAUAUGGUGUUUCGCUCCGCAAGGGAGUGUUCCGUUCACGAAAGUGGCCGGGGUUCGAAUCCCCGUUCUGUCA